rnacentral:rRNA from 1 species
UGGAUUGNCAUNGCGAGAGCCUGAUCCAGCCAUNCCGCGUGCAGGANGAAUGCCUUNUGGGUUGNAAACUGCUUUUAUACGGGAANAAACCACUUUACGUGUAAGGUGUUGAGGUACUGUAUGAAUAAGCAUCGGCUAACUCCGUGCCAGCAGCCGCGGUAAUACGGAGGAUGCAAGCGUUAUCCGGAUUUAUUGGGUUUAAAGGGUCCGUAGGCGGGCGUAUAAGUCAGGGGUGAAAUCCGACAGCUUAACUGUCGAACUGCCUUUGAAACUGUAUGUCUUGAGUGAGAUUGAAGCAGCUGGAAUGUGUAGUGUAGCGGUGAAAUGCAUAGAUAUUACACAGAACACCGAUAGCGUAGGCAGGUUGCUAAGUCUUUACUGACGCUGAUGGACGAAAGCGUGGGGAGCAAACAGGAUUAGAUACCCUGGUAGUCCACGCCGUAAACGUUGGAUACUGUCUAUUGGAAUUUUCAGUGGAUAAGCGAAAGUGAUAAGUAUCCCACCUGGGGGGUCUUCCAGAGAAAACCAAUAUCGGUCUCUUCUUUUUUUUUUUUAUUACUUUCCCAUAUCCUUUUCUUUUUUUCUUUCUCAUUUUUCUCUUCUCUUUUUCUUCUUCUCCUCUUCCUUAUUCAUCCUUAUUUUUUUUUCUCCUCUCUUUCUUCCUUUUUUCUUCUUUCCCCUUCUUUAUCUUCUUCUUUUUCUUUUUCUUCUC